UACGGAAGGGGGCUAGCGUUGCUUCGGAAUUACUAGGGGCGUAAAGGGCCAGUAGGCGGCCAACUAAGUCGGAUGUGAAAUCCCCAGGCUUAACCUGGGAACUGCAUCCGAUACUGGAUGGCUUGAAUUCGGGAGAGGGAUGCAGAAUUCCAGGUGUAGCGGUGAAAUGCGCAGAUAUCAGGAGGAACACCGGUGGCGAAGGCGGCAUCCUGGACCGGCAUUGACGCUGAGGCGCGGAAAGCCAGGGGAGGCAAACGGG
rnacentral:rRNA from 1 species